rnacentral:rRNA from 1 species
GACGAACGCUGGCGGCGUGCUUAACACAUGCAAGUCGAACGGAAAGGCCCUGCUUUUGUGGGGUGCUCGAGUUGCGAACUGGUGAGUAACACGUGAGUAACCUGCCCUUGACUUUGGGAUAACUUCAUGAAACUGGGGCUAAUACCGGAUAGGAGCUCCUGCUUCAUGGUGGGGGUUGGAAAGUUUCGGUGGUUGGGGAUGGACUCGCGGCUUAUCAGCUUGUUGGUGGGGUAGUGGCUUACCAAGGCUUUGACGGGUAGCCGGCCUGAGAGGGUGACAGGCCAAAUUGGGACGGAGAUACGGCCCAGACUCCUACGGGAGGCAGGAGGGGGGAAUAUUGAACAAUGGGCGGAAGCAUGAUGCAGCAAAGCAGCGUGCGGGAUGACGGACUUCGGGUUGUAAACCGCUUUCGCCUGUGACGAAGAGUGAGUGACGGUAAUGGGUAAAGAAGCACCGGCUAACUACGUG